UACGUAGGGUGCGAGCGUUAAUCGGAAUUACUGGGCGUAAAGCGUGCGCAGGCGGUGGCUCAAGCCAGGCGUGAAAUCCCCGGGCUCAACCUGGGAACUGCAUUUGUGACUGCAUCGCUGGAGUGCGGCAGAGGGGGAUGGAAUUCCGCGUGUAGCAGUGAAAUGCGUAGAUAUGCGGAGGAACACCGAUGGCGAAGGCAAUCCCCUGGGCCUGCACUGACGCUCAUGCACGAAAGCGUGGGGAGCAAACAGG
rnacentral:rRNA from 1 species